rnacentral:misc_RNA from 1 species
GAAAUGCGAUAAGUAAUGUGAAUUGCAGAAUUCAGUGAAUCAUCGAAUCUUUGAACGCACCUUGCGCCUCUUGGCUAUUCCGAGGGGCAUGCCUGUUUGAGUAUCAUGAACACCUCAACUCUCACGGUUCACCCGUGAUGAGCUUGGACUUCUGGAGGUUUUGCUGGCCUGUGGACCAGCUCCUCUCAAAUGAAUCAGCUUACCAGUGUUUGGUGGCGCCAUGGGUGUGAUAACUAUCUACGCUUGCGGCUGUUCGCCAUGUAACCUUCAGCGAUGGGGGUUCGCUGGGGCUUACAAAUGUCUCUCCUCAGCGGAGACAGCUUUUUGAACGUUCGAUCUCAAAUCAGGUAGGACUACCCGCUGAACUUAA